UGCCAGCAGCCGCGGUAAUACGGAGGGUGCGAGCGUUAAUCGGAAUUACUGGGCGUAAAGCGCGCGUAGGCGGUUUUAUAAGUCGGAUGUGAAAGCCCUGGGCUUAACCUGGGAAUUGCAUUCGAAACUAUCUGACUAGAGUAUGGGAGAGGGAAGUGGAAUUUCCGGUGUAGCGGUGAAAUGCGUAGAUAUCGGAAGGAACACCAGUGGCGAAGGCGACUUCCUGGACCAAUACUGACGCUGAGGUGCGAAAGCGUGGGGAGCAAACAGGAUUAGAUA
rnacentral:rRNA from 1 species